AGUUCUUAAUACUGUGCACUAUGAAGCCUAAAAUAUAUGAAAUUAUAAAAAGAAACAAGUGGAAGAUUUGUCUCCUAAAAGUGGUCCACGGAGAAACAUCAAUAGCAGAAAAAAAAGAUAUAAAAGGUGUCUGGAGCUGCUGGUCUGUCGGCCGCCCAAAACCUCAACAAACAUUGGGAGGACGGACCCAAAUUUCAUGCACAGGACAUAAUCUUUCUCACAGGAUUAAUCCUUUUAACUGUGGUGGUCCUCCUGAGUGGUCUCAGACAACUUUAAUCUCAGGAUGAAUUAUAAUAACUCAAGUGUACCCCUCACCUUUAAUCUGGCGCCAUCAUCAGGCUCAAUUCCUCAUUUUUCCAGUACUUUGGUUAUGGACAAAUACCUGCGGAAACCUUCCAAAAGGCUCACACGUCACAAGAGUCUACUAGCUUGCUACACCUGGGUUACACUCUUUAUAGUGAGAGUCAGCAAGGACAACUUUGAUUGAAGAGUCUGUGAGUUGGAUAGAAACUUCUAUGUUGAUUCUAAACAGAAGGAUUCCAAUGCUGUAUGGUCACAAUGUGGUUUUCAUUGAAAGCUUUGAAAAAAACAAUUCUAGUCUUAGUCAAGUGUAUUUUGUACUUGUCCUUCCAUAUCAUAGUGGACAAAUGUCCUUUUUGCUUUCCAUUGAGCUUCAUCUGCCUUUCUGUCAGAUUAAAACAUUUCCACAUUGACUGUUUGGUCAAACUUUCCAUCCCAGAGGCUAAAAAACUGAAUUUUCUUCACGAUUGUUGGUCAGAAUCAGUUAACGCGCAAACACUGUAAGCAAUAAUAUAAUUUAACUUUUUUCUACUAUUCAUUCACGUUUGCCGCUCGCACUGUUUAUGGGUAUCGGUUCUGUUCGCGUGGCCAUCAAAGGGUUGCUGGAUUCUCUAAAUGGUUGACAAUGGCCCGGGAAUCAAAAGUAACCACAAUUGGAUCAGAUAACUACUCUCCUCAUCCCAACGAAGCGUUGAAGACAGAGCGCAGCCUCUCCGUGUGGUGGAUCGCUUUCCUGCGGGAAGUGUUGCUCUCCCGGUUUUCCAUCCUUCCGAUCUGUUCGGCGCCAGCUGGGACGGCUGCUCAGCCACCCAGCCGUAAUGUCCUAAUUGUCCUGUUCCUCUGCUCCUCCCAAACAAUGGACGGCAGCUUAGGACAGUGAGAGAAAAGGGCCCCGGCUAGCUGGGUGGGUCCCAGAUUGUUCCCACACCUGCUGCUCCCACCGUGGCACUGGGAAUGACUGGAAACCAGGUAGCUGUUCAGCAGUCGGGGGUGUUUGUAUUAGUCCAAACCAAGUGAAGAAAUGUCAGCGAGUUGAAGGCAGACUUUUUGGGGGGGCGGGGUGGGUUUGGCGUCCUGCACAAACACCGCCGUAGCCAAAUUAUAGUCUCAUUCACUGCAAAAAAAAAAAAAAAAUAAAGAAAUGCACCACAUCCCAGUUCAAAACAAACAUCGUCCUGCAGGGGAGCUCCCCAGGUCUCAAUUAGCCCUGAUGACUUGACAAGGGGGGGGGGGCUGUGUUUAAAUCAACCCAGGAAAUGAUUGCUGGGGAGACAUAUAAUUGAUUUGGGCGGCUCCCAACGACAAAACAAUUACUGAUUGCUUAUUUCUGUUUGUCAGCUAUGACAACCGGGGGUAUCAAUAAAGCAGCAAGAGGGUAAAAAACAAAAGCCUGGGACCCCACCUGAGAAAACGGGUCGGCGAUCGGCUUCUCUGUGCACUACACACAAGGAAAUACGUGCAGGAUUUAACAGAAUACUAUAUAUUUAUCAACACUCUUAAAAAUAAAUGAAAGGUGAAAGUGAGUAUGUAUUUGUAACCCACUUAUUAUUCAUCCCAGGUGUAUAAUGUACAGCCUUGUAAAAACAAUACCGCGGCCGCGGGGGACCAGUGAACAGGUGUUCUGCCUUUACCGUGCGUAACCGCAUCAGGUGAGGGUAAAUCAAACCCCAAAGGCCAUCUGCCGUCCAAUGUCUCACCUCUCAUAGCGGCAGGCACAAAGAGAAGUGAGUACCUGAACCAGUCUGACCAUCGUCUUCUCAAAGGUCUCCUUGUGAGUCGCUGAGGCUCGUUGGUUGUGGGACGUGACCGGCUUGGCGAAGUACUUCCUGUGGGUUGGUACCUCAGUCUGGCCCGCGGAGAGAUCUCACGAUAAAGGUUUGAACUGAGGUCGGUUUCCGCCAGCUGCCUCCUCUGGUCCCGUUAAGUUGGAACCUCAUUAGGCAUAAUCUGCUCCCCUGAGCCGGUCCUGAAAAACCUCGGCCUGGCAACUGCAUAGAAGCACUGCGAGCAAAAUGUGCCUCACCCCUAAAACAGUUAUCUGAUGGGGCUUUGGUGGGUUCUCCCGUUUGAAUGAGGUGGAAAGGAAAAACACACGGGGAGAAACGAAGGAGCAAGCAAUGACCUGGGGAGAGGAAUCCUGUGCCGAGGACUUUAGCAACAACGCCGGCAGAAUGACGGAUCCUGCUCGUACGAAAACACGCGAGCUCUUGGUAAGAACUUCAAACACGCCCAUGUCUCAGUGACAGAAGGCUCCGGGGGUAAAACAACCCGUUCACCUGUGAUCUGUCCUGAGAGCAGAGGAGCGAGGCCGUCUGAGAUGAGCUGCCUCGCCGGACUGGAGUCACGUGCCAGUCAACAAAGACGAGCUGGCGUCAGGUGACCGGCGCUUGACCCCGUUAGCUCCGCCGGAGUCACUUCCAACCAAUACCAGUUGGUUUUGUUGUCAUUCGAAGUAGCAGACUUAAAAGGUUUUGGGCAAACUCACACAUUCAAGAUGAACAGUUUCAAAUAUAUAAAGCGUGCAUCUAGAGAGAGAAAUGUAAGUGUGGCAUUGAACUCCGUUACUAUAAAAGUUAAGACAAUAAAAUACAGGUAAAAUAAGGGUUUGAAAACUUUUUGCUUUAAAAACAAUCUAUAGUUGAUUAUUUGAUCUUCAGACGUAAAUACUUUUCCUCUGAAAGUACUAAAUACAACAUUGGUUGUUUGUUUAAAUCUCUCCUCAGGUGGAUCGCGUUGCCCUGUUCAUUUAGUCAUUGUGAUGCGGUUAUCUGCUCCGGGCCCCGAAGGCCACAAGGGCCCAAAAUGGCUCGGGGGGGGUCACCUUCUAUUGUUUCCCAUAAGAAUUAAAAACCUGUGUGUUUUGUCGUCUUCCCCCUUCUCUGCUCUACCUUUCUCCAGUACACACUCGCUGCAGAGCCGGGAGGAAUGCUGUAUUAAGUCUGGACAACAAUGACAACAAAAAACAUCAACAAAAGCCAAAGGACCAAACCUCGCAGAGUUACGUCCCCUGGACAUUCAACGCCCCCGUCUAGCCUCCAGUUCGACCCAACCCGUGCCCCCCUGCCAAGCCAGGAAUGCUGGGGGAACGGCGACCUUUUCCACCCAGGAGUCCCACCUUGGUUUCUCAGGGAGAUUAGGAGGUGGCAGAGGAACUGGGAGUGUCUGGUGAAGCUGGCUGUGGGUCCCAGCUGGACGAGGCUUCCAGUCCUCUGCAGGUUUGGAACAAGCUGCGUAGGUUCAACCUUGCAGGGUUUUGUGCUUCAUUGGUCUGGCUAUUAUUCAAAAAUGUGAAACCAAUGCGCAGCAGUUUUCUAUUUCUGAGCUUUCCAGCCUCAUUAAAGGUUCUCCUCCUCAGCGGCAGCAGACGGUUAGCAAACAGUAAAGUGUGAUUGGUGAUUUUAUGGGCUUUGCUUUCGAACUUGGUUUCCAUUUACUUCCGUGUUGCUGUUGGAGCGCUGCCCGAAACCAACGUGCCAGCCGCCUGCGAGGCCCCCAGAGAGCGGAGCCACGGGGGGCGCCAUCAGGUGCGCUGCUCGUCCUCAGCAGCUGUCUGGGUGGCUACAGUGGCCCGGGGAAGCCACCGGGGACACGGGCCGCAUGGCAGCGUAACCACAGCCUCGAGAGUCUGCACGUUGUCUACCAAAAUGAAUACGAAAUGAAAUAUGGAGAGUUUGUAUUUUAGCGUGUGACUCGAGAGACAAGGUUCAUAAAUCAGCUGUGAGAUUUACAGAUAAAGAUAUAUGUGCUGGAUUGCCCUAGAACUUUGCAUACAUAUUCAUGGUCAACACAGGAUGAAUCCUGAUGCCUCUUCUCUUCUCUAUAUGCCUUCCUGUAACUUCUUAUAAAGAAAACUGCAAUAAUUGUAAUGGCACAGUAAGAUUUUAAAAUCUAAAUUGGCCAUAAAUAGAUGUAUGAAUAGAUAUGUUCAGAUAUGAUGUAUAGUGCUUACAUUUAAAUCACAUGCUUUUACCGAGACUUAUUACUUUUGAUAAAAAAUCACCAAGAUACCUCUUUGGUAUUUUUGCCUGUGAACAAACAAACCAACCUCACAUUGGCUGAAAACAAAUAGCGUGUAAAGAGAAAUCGACUGUACAUCUGCACGGCACAUUUAAGGAUUAGCUCGACCAUAAAAAGUUCCACCACGUUACACCGCGGGAGGAAAGACAAACAAUAGUGGCAGAGAAAAGCUCCUGACACACUCCAGAUAUUAAGAGCUGGGCGUUACCUCAGCAGACCCAACCAAAAGAAACGAGCUUCCCGCAAUUACGACUUUAAAAAACAGAAAGUUUGAGAUUCCAACGCCAAGAUAAAAGCGUAAUUCGCAUUGCAGGCCCGAUAACCCGGGUUAGCAGCCAUCCAAAGUGUUACCAGAUGCUGCCGUAACACAUUCAUCAGUCAGAGUUAUCAAAUAUUUCGCUCUUCAGUUUCUUUAUACCAAACUUUCCAGUCCAACUGGCCUCCUCUUCAACACACACAGGUUUUUUUUCUUCUCAAGGUCAGUGUGACAAACACAUGCUUCAUUCCCAUUUCUAAUAAAUCAGGGUGAGAUGCUUCAGGGGAGCCGCAGCAUCAGGCUUUUGUUUGUGUUGAGCUGACAGUUGGGUGGUGGCAGUACCUGGGGAUUAGGAGAGCCGUGAAAGGGGAAUAACUAGCCUCAAGCAGCCGCCUCAAACUGUCAGGAAAAGGGGAAUCAUCAAUAAAGCCUCACAGUUCAUGUCUGUUGGCAAAGGAAUUUGUUCAUACGUGCUUCUUCUUACUGACAUUAUAUUAUGUUUACGACGGAAAUGUUAAUUUAACAGCCGAGGACAUGUUGUAAGUGUGAAAGUCAUCGAUCACGCUCAGGCCUUUUCGUCUCUGGGUUGCCUUGACGUUUCACUCGCUCACAUCGUAGCUGCCUUCCAGGUCUAAGCGGUAUAUUUCUCUGCUCCGCCGCAAAUAUCCACUUCCCCCACUCAACGAUCGGUUGCUGCGGGAAGUUGCAGGUUUGUGUGCAUCUCGGAGCGGCGGAAACCCAAUCCAUCGGAGCGGAGCGAGACGGGUGGGCCGGCGCUGUCUGACAUUAUCCAGACACCUUCCUGACAGCGCCGGCUGCACCGCCGGCACACGUGUUGCCGCUACAUGGGUUGGCAUUGAGGGACGAGAGAAGUGAGAAGCAAGUAGCCUCGAAUCAGAAAGUAGAAGGAUUUCUAAUAAGUUAAAGACAUUUCUCGGUACAUGAACAUUGGCAAGAUGCUGAUGUCAAGAAUACUGAAAAAAGAAAUACAUGUUCAUUGUUUCUCAUUCAAAAUGUGUAUAAAAUCAAACUGUUUUCUCCAGUUCAACAACUGCUAAUUGUCAUAUGAGAUAAAGACUAAACGGAAGCAUGCUCUGGCCCGUUAGCUAAUCCACAGCCUAAACCUUUGUAAAGUGCACAACUUCAGCGAGAUGGCCGCCUGUGCUGCUUUAUUUCAACCACCGGCUGACCACAAACGGGUCUAAUUCGACCCAAUUACUUACUGCUUCCUUAAAUGCUCGAACCCGUUGUACUGAUACUUGCCAGGAAUGUUUGUGUGAUAACUAUCUCUUGAUAUCCUUGUGUAUCCUGUGAAAUUGCAGUCGUCUUGUGAUCUCCUGGGACUUUGGGAAAUCUCCAUCAGUGUGACACAUUGCAUGAACUACUUUUAUGGUUUUAAAGACACUGUUUGUUUUAUCAAAAUGAUUCCACAAAACGAAGCUUUUGCUCUUUUAAGCCUGCGGACGUUUCUAUCGAAAUACACAAAGUUCCAUCCCGUUGCGCUGCGUAAAGCGCGAUGCCACAGAGAGACAGUGAGGGUGACAGAUGAGACCCUCCUCUCCGAGUGGGCUACCACAUGGUAGCAAUCAGGGAGAGUGAGGGUCCUCCGGCCCAACAGUAAUUAGCAGUCAGCCUCAUGUUCGCCUUUCUUUUAAUAGCUCAACGCAGCCCGGUGUGGACUAAAAAUAAACAGGGCAAUUAUGGGCGGCAAGGAAGGGCAUCAUUUGAGGGGUCUGACCUUUGAACCCGGGUCAGAGCCCAAAUAGAGUUGUCCAUGUGGACCACCUGCACCCCCUGGGCCUGUGGGGAAAGGGGCCAGGUUGUGUUUAUGUUAAAGGUCAGACGCAGAGGUGUAAGCAAUUGUUGGGUGAACUAGACGUGUGAGUAAAUACUGUCUAUUUAUAUCAUAAGAGAAGUCGAAAUGGUUGCUGUGUUUACGAAAUGCAAGAUGCAACAGUUGCACAAGCUACUAAGUUUAAACUUACCCUUAACAACACUUACAAUAAAUACGAUUUCAUUCGGUGCAACUUCAUGGAUCACUAAAGAUGCGUCAGAGCAUCUAAUGAACUGAAAUAGCAUCGACGUUUGUGCAAAAGCCCAUUUGGGAAUCCAAUUUGUUCAAAACCGUUCAAAGUGGCUUGGAUGAAAUUAUCUGAAACACUUUUCCUAUAAAUUUUGCCCUGAAAACUAUGUUUCCUGAUGCAACAGUGACUUCCUGUUCACAUACUUCUACUGAUAAGUCCAAGGGAUGUUUUCCUGCAACGUACUUACACAUAACAAAAGACUUUUAAAACAAAAACGUGAUCAGCAAAAACAUAGAUAGAUAGAUAUUUUUGUAGUAUAAAUCCCUGCAUCACAACCAGAUACUGGCUCUUUUAGCCCAAAUGUUUUCUACCUAUUAAACAUGGAAGCUACAUUUCCCAAAAUGCAAUUGGACCGUGCACAGCUCAGUCGGAGGGUUUACUGUGUUAUGCUAGUAGUGGCUAAUGCAGCCUCGAUGACACAUGCAUAUACAAGCAGCAACUUGAUUCUAAAAUAUUCCUUUCAAUACUUCAUAGAUCUUCAUGGAGGACGAUUGCAUCCUGUCGGAAAUGUUUCAAAUAUUGGGUCCUUGAUGUACAGCUCAGAGAUGUUUGAUUCCCAGCCCCCCCCCCCCCACCUACAAGUGUGUUUUCUUUAAAUUGCGUCAGCACGAAUCGCUUUCUCUGCACUGGCUAGUCGGCCGGCACAGAUGGUCACAUCAGUGCAAGAACAACAAGAAAAGCCUUUCACACCUGGCAACUCUCAAACAGAACUUGGCACCAAAGAACCUGCGAGGCUGUCCCGGACCGACCUUUCACCUUUUGUGAUGUCAAUGAUCCUUCGGACCAAUUAGAUGCUGGAAACUGUCCUUGGACUUGCUCGGCCUGAGACUCAAAGACAAAUGAUUCUAUCAGGUGAAAUGUUUUUUAAUGGCAGAAGGGGAGGCCAAGUGGGGGUCUUUCACUAGAAGCCAUAUGUGCAUCGCUCCGGUUAUCAUCGCAAAUGAGGCUCAUUUGUAACCAAUAUGUGAAUGAAAAGUUAAGCUCUGGCAGACGACGUGGAGGAAAAUCUCGUGUUUGUUACGCCAGGGACAGCGGCGUACCAAUUUAUUUCCUAAUGUCAAUAUCCCUCCAUCAUCAAUGUGUUCUCAAACUGGAUUGACUAUGAGAAUAACUGGCUGUCCGUAACAAAACAUGGAAACCUACCAUGUAGCUUUGCAUGUGAAGCAGAUUAUGGCCAAUACGUUCUGACCUGAAUCUGCCAAGAGACACAACAAGAGCAAGCCACACAUCCACAGGCCUCGCUAUUUUUAAACCCACGUUUGGACUUGGUGCUCGGUGCCUACCGCACCAAAGGCUGUGGGAGCCAUCACCCAACCCAACACAAAGACACCGUCCCUGAGACCACAGCUUCAAAAGGAACAACAAGGUCAAACGUAUUUUUAGUCUCGAGUUCUGGGCCCGAGCUGUACGGCAAACUGGACCUCACGAAAAAGGACGCUUUUCCACAUCUACCUCCAGGGACCUACGAUCACCCGGACGUCUCGGCCGUUCUUCCAGAGAACGGGUUGUGGGGUCCUUCACCUGUCUGCGAGGUGACCUGGUCAUACCUACGGCCCCGUGUCAGUGGAUUUACCCCCCCAAACCCCAGGAGAAGAAAGACCCCUGCACCACUUAUGAAGCGUUUGUUCUUCCUGUCAGCCUCCAAUUGAGGAUAAUUGUCUCUUUUAGAUCUCGAGGGCCUGUGAUCUGCCAUCCAUUGAGCCCAAAAGGAGGUUAGGUUUCACCUCAGGUUGGCGUGGGCGGGUAGGGGGGCCAGAUUAAACAUCAAAAGGUUAAAACUGGAUAUAUAAGAGAAGCGUUCUUAUUUUGUUGUGUGUAUUGUGCAACGUCUGAAACUGAGUGACUGCAUCCAUUUAUCAUAGACAAUUUAACGUGAGGUCAUGAAUAUUUGGGUGUUAAUGCAAAUGCUUUAAUACCAAAUUAAUUCAAUGUUUAGCAGGUUUGUUUUUUCAGCCACACACACACACACACACACACACACACACACUUUAUCCCCUUUGGUCUUUCAUUAACUCACACAUGCAGCUCAAAUGCUCCGCACAGUAACAGCUUUGGAUCAAAUUUGCAUUGCAUUUUCAGUGCUGCUGACAUCAGAGAGGUCUGCCUUCCCUUCCUGCCUUCACUCUCCUGCGUAUCAUCCACAGCUGGCCGCGCCACAUAAUCGCCUCCUUCAGCGCAGCAGCAGCUGUGCGCCACUGAGAGCACCGUGUGCAGAGAAAUUAGCAUACGCCUCCCAACCGAUCGGUGGUUCGGGAAACAACAUAAUAGUUUUUAAAAGUGCAGCUCAUACGUGGCCUCAACGCGAAGUCCAACAACAUAUAAACACAUCAUUCUCCCCCCGUCUGAAUUGUGUGUCAGGCCUCACGUGGUGACAAUGUGUGCGCUGUGCUGCGGAGGCAGCAGUCAGUCUGUAAAAAGAGGAAGUGGUGCUGUUUCCCCCGGAGGAGUCGGCUCCCUGGGAAGAAUGUCUGUCCUGUCCACAGCCUUUCAUCUUUUACUGUUAAUCACUUCCUGCACACUGUAUAUGAACCAAGCCGCUCUGUGCUGCGGCGCCGGGGCCGGCAGCCAUUUUGGAUUUUCUUAACAGGCCCCGAUGUGCAUCUACCACACCAUGUGGUCAGGGUGGCGGUGACAUUUUGUAGCCGUUAUAAUUUAAAAUCCAUAUCAGUGCUGCAAAAGUCUCCAACCCUCAGUGACGGUGAUGACACUCGGGUUUCGGGUUUUCAGUCUGGUUUUCGGCCUCCGUUUCUCUGCUUCUUUCUUGGUCUCGCACGUGAAAGACCCUGUACAACCCGCCGAUACCCUUCACUAUUUAGCCUCCCCCCCCCCCCACCCCCCAGUAGCAUCUGAGAGCAUUUAUACAGCUCUGGAAUUCAGAGGGUUUAAAACCCCACACCCGGCAACUGAAGUCAAGCUCAAGCAACCAAGGACAUAAGGGACUUAAAAUGAGACGGCGCCUGACCUCCACGCAAAGCCUCCGCAGCACAGCGCACGCACACGGGUUGGAAGGCACCAGCCGCCUGUCGUGGCACAUGCCACUUGAUUCGUUGGCGUGUGCCAGUGGGUGGAGGCGUCGUUGAAAAGCAAAGCAUGGAAUCUUUUCUCUCCAAGUGAACGGCUUGAUUUACAACUGCUGACUUGGAUUGCGUGUGUCAAGAAGUGCUUUGAAAAAUAAAAAAGACUGUUCUUUCACGUUGGGGAGACAGGCAGGCAGAGGAUUCUUGGUGGUUUAGCUUCUAUUGUGUGUGUGUCCCUGUGAGUAUGUCGGGAGCUUUGUUUUAAAGGUCUCUUCUAUCAGUCAUUCAGCGAUGCCCUGCAGCCUGUUCUGAAGCAGGCAUCCGGCUCCAAUAGGCCCUCACACACACGCUCACUGAAACUAUGCAAGUCGCUCACACGCACACGCACACACUUCACACAAAAAAACCCGCAAGGAUCAAAGCGUUAUUGUAACUCUGUAGUUGUCGCUGUCAACUGAACAUUGCACCAACAGCGUAUCGUCUACCUCUGCAAUGCAAAUCCAAACUUACCUGUUAACGCCACAAAAUCUCUCCGAGCAUUAAAACAACAAAGGUGCAUGUGAAUACAAAAAAAAUUAAAAACAAAUCCACAAAGAAUGCACCUAUAACCGUAAUCCCAAUGAGGACUUAACGCCCUGAGUAGCACAUCUGACUCAUUGUUGGAAAGGUUAUUGUCUGCAUGUUUUCCUGUGACUGUGUGUGUGUGUGUGUGUGUGUGUGUGUGUGUGACAGGGCUUGCGUGACUAUUGUAGAGUGUGAGCAGAGAGUGGGAAGGUUCCUCUACUGCCUAAGGGAAAUAGCAGUGUUUUGUGUGCGUUUAACCUCUUUUAAUCCCACUGAAACUUUUAAAAGGCCAUGUAAAGCAGCGAGCCCUAGCGGGCAUUAUCAAAAUGUUUACAUGCGUGAACUCUCGAGUUACCACAAAGCUUUUGAGCCACCAUGUCAAAUACAGUAAAAGACAAUAGCAAAAAGACAAUAGAAACUCUGCUUUCCAGUUUUGCUAUCAAACACUAGGCUUUACAGGGAGGACUUUGCAUGCCGCAUCUCUGUCUGUUACUCAUCUCAACAGGUUUCAGCAGCUUUUUUCCACUUAGUGCAGUUGAGGUGAGGCCGACCGUGUCGUCCCGGGUGAUUCAGUCACUGCUCGUCAUUCACAGACCAAAACAUUAUUUAUUAUCUCAACCAGUGUUUAUUGAGUAAACUCAACUGAGGGCGCCUGCUGUUUCCUUACUGCUGCACAUUGGACAUAGUUAGAGAAAAUCCCACCUAAAGGUCUGCCCAGCGUGACCUCGGCCCUCUACUGUGGCUGCAGACCGGCUUUGCUCAAAGCAGCUGGGGGAUAAGACUUAACUAACGGUACAAUGAAGACUUUCUAAUUGUGCAUAUGUGCAGUUGUCACCAUGAUAAUAGCUUAACUUGUUGUCAUAAUGAGGAUAAUUACAUCGAAUUGGAUUCAAAGGCGGCAUUAGUUUGGCUUGUCGCAUCACUUUCAUCUCAAGCUCAAUCAGCUCAACGUGCAAAAAAAAAAGUAAUUCGCUUGUAAUAAAAUAAUUAACAAAAUACAUUUCCAGACAAUUACCUUCAACCGCUGAUGGAUGAUUUCCAACAAUGAUAGUGGACUUUAGUCAGAGGUAAAGAAUCGUCAAGUCAUGCUGGUGGCUCUGUGAGCUAAAUGCUAACAUUAGAAUGCUAACAUACUACAACGACAAUGCUAACAGGAAACCUUAUUUAAGAGGACAGGAAUGUAUUUUCUUUAGUUAGUCAAGAACCAAAACUGAUGGACAAUUCAUAAUGUUGAUCUGAGGGGCAUGAAUGUCAGCCCCAAUUUCCCUGACCGGUCGAUGAAAUAGUUGUUGAAGUGGUCGACCAGCCGCCAUGUUGCUAGCUUGCUAGAGUUGUUGUGAAAAAUUCCUCAAUAAAAAUCAACGGCACAUUUCACGCAAGAAAUGUUCAAGAGCCUGCAGUUAAUUUGAAUUAUGAUGGCAUUGUUUUUACCCAGUUAAAAACAGUGACAAAGGGGCCAGCUUUUUUUUUAAAAUGCCUCGAUUUUUACUCCACUAUUACUCUCUGCCAUUGUAAUGAGGUGUUGACAAUAUCACAACUUACACAACUACAUUGUUUAACCCUUAAAAGCUCAAUGCCGAACAGUUAGAAGGCAGCCUAAGAAAGAGGUACGGUUCAGAGAGCCCUGAGCUAACGAACGAGGGGGCGUACCAGAGAUGGAGGGGAGGGAGGCAUCCUGCUGCUUCCCAGUACAAGUGACAGGGUGACAGGUGGAGGGGGCUGGAAGCAAGAGGGAGCAGGGCCUUGGGGACGGGGGGGGAUGGGGGGGGUCACCUGUUCUACUCAUGUUCUGGCAGGUAGGAUGUACCCCCGCCCCGCUCUUUCCCAGUGAACCCCCUACCCCCAACCCCACCACCGCCCAGGAUCCGCGCAGCACCCGACUGUUUCCUUUUGAUACCAUCUCAGGGCUCAAUCUGGUCAGUGCACGCCCCCUCAUGCCCCCAUCCAAUGGCGAAUGGGGGGGCAGCUUAAAGAUUUCCAUCUGCUGUCCUUGACUCGGUGCCAGAGGAGCUGGGAAUGUACGUCUCCGAUGCAAGAAGUACUGAGAAUGUUGAGGCUUUGGGUCCUGAUUGAUUGUAAUGGUCAGUGUUAAAGAGCUUUACAUUGUAUUUGUGUUGGGAACAUGAAUAGAAGUAUGGAUGCCGUUGCAUUGAAGUUACACGUCCUUUGUUUAUUGGUCUGACGGUUGGAGACGCAGACGUGUCUGUGAUCCGCUUGCCAAAUUUGGGUUAAAAAUGUAGUAGCAAUAAAUUACUUUUUGAAAAUCCUGCUCAACCUGUUCAGUUUUGAUAAUUAUCUCCGUGGUUGAAGUGAUUCACCUUGGUUUCGCUGUUUGAUGAUAUGUUGAAGUUCUGGACCUGUUUGUAGUUUCUUUCUUGUAACAUACCACCCUGGUUGAACCCGGACAGUACCCCUCUUUGUUUGUAUCAAAGUGAACGUUUAUUUUUUAUAUAAAAAAACCCACCUCAAAUUUCCAAGCAAAUUACAUUUAAUCGUCAGCUUCGGCUUUGGCUUCUAUUCAGUGUUCUUUAUCCAACUUAAUCCCUCUGUCCCGGAGAACUGAACUUCUAUAAUUGCUCAACAUAGAUCACUUGUGUCAAUACUUACUUAACAAAACACAGGAAUUAAUCUUUUUUGUCACGGUAGUAGAAUGGAUAUGAAGAGGGGUAAAAUAAGUAAAUUCACAUUAACUUUCUGUAGCCACUUUAUUAUGUUGACUUAUGUGUGUGUGUGUGUGUGUCCUGCAGGAGACAGGAAAGUGGUGGCCUGGUGCCAGUAAACACAGAGCUUUUGUUUGUGGGAAUCGGCCUCAGGUGCAGUUGACCCCUGACCUGUGAGCCUGCAGGUUGAACAAAGGGCCAUUAAGGGGAGCUGCGUGUCUCCACUCCAGAGUGACUGGGACAGACGAAUUCACAGAAAGUGUGCGCAAACACAAAGAAGUGGAUCACGCUUUUUAGGCACCUCGACGACUUUACUUAAACAAACUCCCAAUACAACAAUUGGUGGGCCAAUGACUGGAUGGAUAAAUGGAUCUCUGUCCCUCACUUGUAACAUUAAUCAGUUCUCUGGCCCUUUUUGGGGGGACAGCCGCCCAUCAAACAAGCGCUGACAGCUGCAAAUCGACACUUGUGAAUCCAGACCAGGUCACUUCAUCAUCAUCUGAUCACUGAAACAAGGUUCCCUUGGAAGUAUCCCCUUGUCCCCCUGUCACCACUGGAGCUGAGUGGAGUCGGGGGCUUGUCCUCUGGGCUACAGAUGGUGAAAGGCAAGUCCCUCGAAUUCUGCAGCAACGCACAAUGCUCAUAGUGUCUCGCAGGUCCCUGAGGGCACAAUGAGGUCGCUCAGCCAGAAAAGGUAGGGGGCGUGUGGGGCGCCCUGAACACCGUCGGCCUUUACACCUGAAACUGAUUGUCAGGGAACACAAAUCUUCUCUGAACUCGCUACGUAGCGCUGCUUGCAUAUCCCGCCAGUUUAUGUGGUACAUGUUGAUCCCGGCCCGCUCUACUGUAUGUGCAUCAAGCCAGAACACGGUCCUUCACGCGCGUCUUCGCUCCUCCAUCCGUCUGGCUCAACACUGCCCCCCAGUGGUCGCCUCUAGGCCGACGUCAUAGAAUCGGUCACCCGGCUUCAGCCCCUUAGCCUGCGGUUGACUCUGACAACAUGUCCUUUGACGUAAAUCAAUCAGUACCAGGGAAGGGUUGUGGCACAUUGGCAACUGUGCAAAGUAAAAAUCCAACCGACACAAACGUUCACACGGUUUGAUUCUGUGACCUUAAUGUAACAACAAAGGCCGAGGGCUCCAGAUAAUCGAUUCUAACUAAGAUCAUUAUACAACACUAAUCAGAGGUUACUACACUUUAUUAGGGUGUCACUCAAAUGGAAUGGUAAUAAGAUUAAUUGGAAAACAAUCUUUCCCUUUUAGGCAAGUCUCUCCGUCCCAUAGUCUUCAAGUUCAUUAUUCUGCUCUUAUUCUAAUAGAGAGCGCCUCCUCUCCUCUAGAAAGACAGAUGUAAUUAGUGAUGGGGAGAAACAGGAGCUGGGUGGGCCCAUCACACCUCCUGGAGGUCACAGAUAUAGCUUUGGGUGGCUGAAUAAUUCAAAGUGCACGGCUACAAAGCUGCUGCUUUCCCGUUUUAGCAGAAAAGAGAAUGAAGAUUCAACCCCAGGUUCAUUUAAACAUGACCACAAACAUAUUGCCAUUCGGACACAAGCGUGCGUUUUAUUAAACAAAGGAACACUGAGUUCUAGAGGUGGUCGUAUUAUAGGAAAUAGCUAUGGCUUAAGUUUAGUACCGCAGGGAGCGGGAGGAUCAAUGGCCCCCUUCCCUACAUCCUACCCCCUGCUUACUGCCCCUCAAUCUGACCACAUCCAUCUCAAACUCACCCGGAAGAACAAUUGUACUAUUUCCAAACCUAAAUAUUAGACAAAGACCUGUUUCAGAUUGGUGAUGGCAUCCCAGUCACUUUACAUUACCAGCUAAAUUUAACAUGAUCUGCAUUUUGGAUUUGUUUUGCAACUGACAAUGUCCAGACUUCUGCCCCGGGUGAUCAGUACGGCCACUUUUUGGCCUUCCUGUUAUUUUCAGAUAAAGGCCAAAAUAAAAUCUGACAAAAGAUCCGUACUCAAUGAUAAGCUCCCAGUGUUUUUAACUGUUCUACGUUUCGUUCAAAGAGGGAUCUUCUUCUGCCAUUUUCUUCCCACAAACAAUAAAACCAUCUGAUAAAUAUACAUAGUAUUCAUAAUAGGUAUUUCCUUUUCAACCACUCCAUUAAACUCGAGCCUCGGCAGUGUGAUCCUCCGCUCCUCUACACGGUGUGGGGAUUACAGGUGUUAAGUUUUCUUUCCACCGUGCCCGAGCAUUUGUAUGUACACAACAGCACAGGAAACCCGAUCAUAUUCAAUAAUUCACGACAACUCUGAAACCCCUUCACCUCUGUCCAUCGGCUCCUCUGAGAGCUCCACUAAUGCCAGCCAGGGAGAGCUGGCUGCAGAUGGACUGUAGCUACACUUCUCCAUUGGAUGAAGGAUUUUGGAGACGUAUUAUGGCGGUGUCGGUGCGAUCGGACCAGAAAUGUGUCUUCCUUCAUUUGAUCGUUUCUCCUGCCAGCGACACCGAAGCAUAAAUCCUUCCUACGGCGACAAGGAAGCAAGCUGAUAAAUAAUACACACUUUACACCUUACAGCGAAACUAAUCCAAACCCCUUGGCAUGAGAAGGCCGAGGCUUAGCACGACAUUAGCCUUUACGCUCCGGCAGCUCCCGCUCUCUUGCCCAAAAAAUAACAGCCGUAAUAUUACAGCAGCAAAAAACAAUAUUUGUCUUGCUUGUCGAGUCCAUAUAAACGUGUGAUUUCAAAGACAGCUGGCUAGGCAACAAUAAAGUAACCACGGAUGAGUAGCGUGUCCUCAAACACUCCGUCACUAUGACCCGGUAUGAACUUGGGUUUCUGUUCAUCUGAGGUGAACAAUUUGUUUCUUGGAACUGAUCGAGCGUGCCACACAGUUCUGAGGAAUGACAAUCGUGAACUUGGAAGGAGAACAAAAAAUACACCUCACCACACCCAAAAUGGAUGGUUGGGUGGAACAUUUAACGGGUGGUAAUUCUUGUUUGUCAAAGGCUCUUGACCUAUUUCCUCUACUAAGCUAAACACGCACAUAGUGAUUCCUCUCAUGCCUUACCAAUGCAAAACACGCCGUUAAGUGGCGCUUCUCAAUGUGCCGUUGGAAUCUAGGGAGCAGCCAAGGACACGGUCCCUCCACCACCUGCGGCGAUGCAGGUUUCUCCUGAUAUCCUCCUGCUUCAACCCAGCUCGCCACUGGGUCGCCUGCCAUCUCAUCUUGAAUCUCACAUGGUUUUUGGCACAUCAACCAGCAACAUUGUAAACACAUGACAAGUGAAAGUGGUUUAAUCCACAUCCGAGUGACAGGUGUCGCGACGAGCAUGAGCAGUUAGCGACUGUGCCGGCUGCACGUACACAUCCCAGGUAAGCUCGAGGGUGUGCACCUACCAACUCAAAUAUGUGCACAUGCUCACAAACGGGCACCCCAUGGUGUUCUCAAAAAGACAACAUGGAAGCACGCACAAAGGUAUAGGUGACACCUGAGAUCAAACAGAAAAGGUGCGGCGGUUGAUGAAACUGAAACAGCGGGGGGGGGGGGGGGUUGUUUUCAUCGGUCUCAAUUAAGUGUUUCAUCUUGUUCCGCGUGACAGCUGAUGGUAACCGUUCGCGUGUUUGUCACGCAACGCCAUCCGUCGCUUAAAGAGCCCCCCGUACACUCGAGGCUUUUCUUCUAUCAGGAGGCCCAUCACACACACACACACACACACAUUUAGAGACAUGUUGGGGUCGGUAAACGCUUCAGAGAAAAGACUGGAAGAUGACAUGGGAGAGGGAAUAAUACAAGAGGAAGACACCGUAUCAUUUCAACAUGACCAAACCCAAAAACAAACACGAGGUGUGUAACCCAAAAGCUCCGGCCCGGGUAGGAGCCCAGAGGUACCCCUCCAGGUUCACUGUCUCCACCAAAGCUCUUGUUUUCCAGUACACAGUGACGGAGACAGCAGACACUGUAGGUGCGUGUUUGUGUCGGGCCGGGCCUAAGCCCUUAGACUCAGUUAGUCCCUCUAACGUCUACUCAGGUUCCCCCAGGUCUCAGGGUUGGACCUGUGUUCUGUUCCCCGAGCGCCUUACGUGACACUGUCCCUUCAGUGGGCCACAAACAGUAAUUGUGACCGACUCACACAAACAGGCACAUAAGUGCACACACACACACACAUGCACGAAGAGCAUCCCACUGGAAUGCGGCGGUGUGCGCGUCUGACGCCACGCUAAGCCACCUCAGUCCUGCUGAGGAGUCGACUUUUGCAAGCCCCGUCGUCUGCGUCUGGCCGUCACGAUCAUGAGAAAAUCACCAGGUGCCUGCGGGGCGCAUCUCCCAGGUUACAGGUAUGCCUGUUGACACACGCCAAAUCCCCCUCUUUCUCCCGAGUGGGCGGUGAACGCGCCGUAACGCCCUGUCCAAACCGCAGACAUCACACAGGCCGCCCGAGCAGGGCCGGACACGUCGGGUCACGUGACGGAACCGCCGGCUGCGUCGGCGACUGGUAAACAUGCCCCAGUGCGAACCUGCAGCGCGUGGAUCCGUGCUCGCACAGUCGCCGAGUGCGGCGCUGCUGCCGUGGCUGUGGAGGGGGGGCCUUUUCGGGGGGCCCGGCAGCGAGCCGCAGUUCCUCCGGCUCUAGUCGAGCUGCUGAUGGAUGGGAGUGCUCGCACAUUCCUCUGACAGGUGACGGGAGCAGCUCCUAUUUGAUGCGUCAGCGGGUGGCGACAGAAGAGGAAGACCGCAGUGGCCCGCACACGUCUCCAGCGACAGACCUGUGAGGUCGUGCAGCCAAAGCGGCGGUUAAUGAGAAAGCUGAAACAUUUCUCCACUAAAUGUGAUCGGCGGUAAAGCGAGGGGACCAUGUAAUGCACUAGAGUCUAAUACAGAGGUACUUUUAUUGAAUGUUUGUACACUGAGCCUCUGCUAUAUCACAGGGAAUAAAGUAUUGCACAUCCUGUACACUCGUUUGCCGUAGUUCAAUCAUGAUUUGACAUGUCAAAAAAACUCUGUUGUGAUUAAAAUAGCUAUGGUGUAUUUACAAGUUGCACGUGGGAAUGCCAAACAUGUGUAUUGAUUGUUGAAUCUGAUCUUUUUUAUUGAUCUAUUGCAGUGGUUCCUAAACUAUAGCACACACACCACAGACUGUAUGCAAGCUCUCUAUGGUGAUAUAUUAGAAAUAUCCAACAUUUUCCGAUAAAUGAAUGAAUGAAUACUUUUUUUUUUACAAUUAUGCCACUACAGAGGUACUACAAUUAGGGAUGAGCAAUAUAUUGAUAAUAAUAUAUAUAUUUUGUUGUAUGAGACUAGAUAGAUAAACAUAUAUUGAAAUAUAUAUAUAUAUUUUUUUUUUCUGGUUUCAAAGGCUUCCUCAGGGUAAAGUGAUGCACUAGGAUUAUUUAUCAGAAACCAUGUGUACUCAUUGUGUAAAUAUUUAAAUAUGUAUAUAAAUAUAACCCGAUGGUGUCAAUAUUGAUAUUUGGAUUUACUCCCUUUCCCACGCAUCCGUCUACUAGCUGCUGAGUACUACCGAUAUCUGUGAAAUGUAACGACGUAAAUCUCGUCAAGCGGCUGCUUGGGCAAUGAUAUUAAAACAAAGUUACGCUCUUUUCAGGGUGACAACUGAUCCUGCGAAAGUAUAUACGUAUUUUCUGGAAAACAUUUAGCCAGACGUGGUGUGUAUGGUUACAGUCGGCUGGCAUUAUAGUCCGUGAUUCACAGGCUCAUUCAGCGGCGUCUCACCGUGUCCGUGACAUCAUCGACUUCUCCCGCUGUGUACAUCACAAUGCACCUUAAGACUACCGACCGCAUGUGCAAACAAACCCACAAUGCCAUUCUGUACACCUUGAAGCACUGUUGUCUGCACUCAGAAGCCAUGUUAUCCUUUAAUGUGACUGGAAAACGCGGGUUUUGUGAUCGAUGUGCCAAAUCUGAUGCUGGUAUUUGUUUUUGCCGUAGUGACAAAAUAAAAAAUUAAAAGGGCGUAGAAGGAAAAAGAAAAGGGAAACAUUCACUUGAUCGGAUUGGUACAAUCCUCAACUGUGCCAAACUAAGCAAGGUAUGUCGUUGCACAGCGGAUACUGUCGGUGGUUCAAUCAGCACCUGUUCCGCCCGUUCGUCCUCUAUCGGCAGGUAUCCACCGCUGAGACACACGAUAUAUGAGACGCAACGAGCUCAACGCCUGUCGUUGAGAACGUUGACACCUCUGGAGAUCUAUUACAUUUCAAAGACAGGCUUGACAUGUAGACAGGCAUGAGCAAGUCUGAAAUCAAGUUCAGUGGUAAGAGGAGGGGGGGGGGCGUGUUGGGGGGGUAUAACCCUCUGUCAUCAUCAAGAGAAGAUCCCGUGUGGUUUGGUUUUAUCCAUUUCACUCUUUGGUGACAGCGGCCUUCCUGGUGGAGCUGCAGCAUCGCACGCCAACCGUGAACAAGGCCGUCCUGUUUUUCCUGUCAGCUGCCCGGCACGCCGACCUCCUCAAUGCAUCGAACUGCGAACGCCAAGGG
ensembl:lncRNA